AAGGAUCUCAUUUUGAGUGGUAACUCAUAACCAACACUAAUGUGUUGAGAACUGUCAUUGCUACAGCUGUGCAAUGUUUAUGUUUACGUUUCGCUUCGAGUGUGACGGUUCGCGAUACCGGCUUUCUCGAGUCUAUUUCCACGAAUUAAAUCGCGCGUUUCGGGAAAUUAACUAAAAAAUUGUGUCCGCGAAUAGAAAACUCUCGACAGAAUCGAACGGAUCGGAGAGGAUUCACUUCUGGAGGCAAUAUUUUGGUCUGCCCAGGUCUGAAAGUGCAUCCAUUGAGCACUCAUUCAUUGAGUGACUCAUCAAUUGAGCGGUCCGGACCUAUGAAUGGUGAGUAACAAAUCAAUCAACUGCGACUGAUUGUUGAAGAAUUCACGUUCAUCGAUGAAUAUUUUUGUGUUUUAGAAGCUGGACUUCGAUUGUCCAAACAACUUACUGCGUGGGAUAAAGGACAUCGCCGAAUCGACUGUAUCGAAACGGUCCCACUUUUGGAGGAAAAUGUCGGGCUCGCACCGGACAACUUCGCCGGGAUUCCUCGAGCUUCUCGACUGCGCUUUGGCCACAUCGGACCGAUACUCUCGGGUGCUACCAGGUAGACCCGAGCAAAAAGUGUUUAUUUAUUCUGUACUUUUAUGGUAGUACUCUAAAUUACCAAAUAAAUUUCGAUUUUGGGGUUUGGGAAUGGGUUUUCUAGGAAGAAAAACCCCAUCGGGGUUCGGGAAAUCGGAAAGCAGUUCACGGGAACUGUCCGCGGUAAUCUUUCGCGCAUUUCCGUCGGGUUGGGAGAAUUUUUCGCGAUUUGCUUUACGGUGUCCAUUUCAGAUCGCCACUCGGGUGGGUCUGCUUUAGUUUCGCGGUUUGUCUAGCGGUUUUGAGAGCUCUUCAUCGGUUGCUCGGAUCGUGGUAAGUAUCUCCUACGGUAAGUAUUAUACUUUUCGGUUACUUCGCGGAUUUUGGUCAGACCUCCGGAUGUCUGCCAAACCGGUUUCACGUUUUAUUGAUUUCGCGACCGAGAUCGCGACGUACUCUCGGUUGGGUCAGCACCCAUCGUUGUUGUGACCGGUCGAUCUUGCUCGAAGAGAUCGACCUUUAGAGUUCGGGUGUGCAAGAACACGGCUUGCUCUUCUAGAUUUUCGCGGAUACUGGAAUAAUGCGGACAUUUUGCGGUUGUUUGUGCGGAAGUCCAUCGAACAGACCGAGUCUUCCAACGAGUUGCACGACGGUGCGAUCGUUUGAUAUCGCGGCGAGACAUUUCGCGGUUACGUUUCGGUCACGGAUUGGUUCCGCGUUUCACGAAUUUCGAUUAAAUUUGUUAUUCUACAUAGCGUUCAAUCGGAUUGGAUAAUACGACCUAAAAUUGAAAAAAAAACCUAAUAUUUACGCGCGCAUUUUGAAAAUUCCUAUGGUAUGCUCGUGAUUCCGGAAUGGAAUCCGUGUGUUCCUGAAACAU